UCGGGCAGAUCUUUACUCAGAGUAGAACAGAAACCUAAAAGAAAAGAAUUGAAGAAGCCCAUUCAGAAACAAGAAAAUUACAUUGUGAUUUAAUUUUAUUUAGAUUCGAUCUCGAUGAAAACAAUACAUCAAUGAGGAGUUAGUUCAAAAAGUUAAAUACAUUCUAUAUGUAUGGAUAAAAGAAGGGCUCAAAAGUCCUCUUUAUUGAAAAAAAAUUGUAAGAAAAAGACCUUUCCUUUCGUUAGAAAUUCUAAAAAGUCUAUUCUGGAAAAGAGUCAUAAAUUAAUAAAAAA
rnacentral:lncRNA from 1 species